AGUCUAUGCCUGGUCUUUGUUUCGUUAUGCAGAUUUGCCCCCUUGGCCAUAUUUAGUUAUAGGUCUUUCUUUGAGAUAGGUAAAGCCUGCAAAUCAUAGUGAAGAGGUCAAUGAGAGAGGAGGUGCCCCUCACUGUGAAAUGUUAACAAAAGCUUGAGCGAAGUAUGUGAUGGCGGAUGAUGGAGUUUGAGUUGCAAUUGAUUUUGGAACUUUUUUUGUUCUUGAUUUUGAUUCUAGGUGUAGAGAUUUUUAUUCUACCAAUUUUUCAUUUUAUAUUGUAGACUUUGUUCAAG
rnacentral:misc_RNA from 1 species